rnacentral:rRNA from 1 species
ACACCCGCCCGUCACACCAUGGGAGUUGGUCAUGCCCGAAGUCGUUACUCUAACCGUUCGCGGAGGAGGAUGCCGAAGGUGGGGCUGAUGACUGGGGUGAAGUCGUAACAAGGUAGCCGUACCGGAAGGUGUGGCUGGAUCACCUCCUUA